CGGGCUGGCGGCAGCUCACCAUGCAGUCGCCGAUGAAAACCGUGCUUGUACGGUUGGUUUAGUGGCGAACGGGUGAGUAUCACGUGAGUAACCUUCCCUUAACUCUGGGAUAAGCCCGGGAAACUGGGUCUAAUACCGGAUACGACCAGUCCUCGCAUGGGGUGCUGGUGGAAAGAUUUAUCGGUUUUGGAUGGACUCGCGGCCUAUCAGCUUGUUGGUGAGGUAAUGGCUCACCAAGGCGAUGACGGGUAGCCGGCCUGAGAGGGUGACCGGCCACACUGGGACUGAGACACGGCCCAGACUCCUACGGGAGGCAGCAGUGGGGAAUAUUGCACAAUGGGCGAAAGCCUGAUGCAGCGACGCCGCGUGCGGGAUGACGGCCUUCGGGUUGUAAACCGCUUUCAGCAGGGAAGAAGCGAAAGUGACGGUACCUGCAGAAGAAGCGCCGGCUAACUACGUGCCAGCAGCCGCGGUAAUACGUAGGGCGCGAGCGUUAUCCGGAAUUAUUGGGCGUAAAGAGCUCGUAGGCGGUUUGUCACGUCUGCUGUGAAAGCCCGGGGCUCAACCCCGGGUGUGCAGUGGGUACGGGCAGACUAGAGUGCAGUAGGGGAGACUGGAAUUCCUGGUGUAGCGGUGAAAUGCGCAGAUAUCAGGAGGAACACCGAUGGCGAAGGCAGGUCUCUGGGCUGUUACUGACGCUGAGGAGCGAAAGCAUGGGGAGCGAACAGGAUUAGAUACCCUGGUAGUCCAUGCCGUAAACGUUGGGCACUAGGUGUGGGGAACAUUCCACGUUUUCCGCGCCGUAGCUAACGCAUUAAGUGCCCCGCCUGGGAGUACGGCCGCAAGGCUAAAACUCAAAGGAAUUGACGGGGCCCGCACAAGCGGCGGAGCAUGCGGAUUAAUUCGAUGCACGCGAAGAACCUUACCAAGGCUUGACAUGGACCGGAUCGCUGCAGAGAUGCAGUUUCCCUUCGGGGUCGGUUCACAGGUGGUGCAUGGUUGUCGUCAGCUCGUGUCGUGAGAUGUUGGGUUAAGUCCCGCAACGAGCGCAACCCCUAUCCUAUGUUGCCAGCACGUGAUGGUGGGGACUCAUGGGAGACUGCCGGGGUCAACUCGGAGGAAGGUGGGGACGACGUCAAAUCAUCAUGCCCCUUAUGUCUUGGGCUUCACGCAUGCUACAAUGGCCGGUACAAUGGGUUGCGAUACUGUGAGGUGGAGCUAAUCCCUAAAAGCCGGUCUCAGUUCGGAUCGAAGUCUGCAACUCGACUUCGUGAAGUUGGAGUCGCUAGUAAUCGCAGAUCAGCAACGCUGCGGUGAAUACGUUCCCGGGCCUUGUACACACCGCCCGUCAAGUCACGAAAGUGGGUAACACCCGAAGCCGGUGGCCUAACCCUUGUGGGGGGAGCCGUCGAAGGUGAUCCGGGU
rnacentral:rRNA from 1 species